UACAGAGGGUGCGAGCGUUAAUCGGAAUUACUGGGCGUAAAGCGUGCGUAGAUGGUUAUGUAAGUCGGAUGUGAAAGCCCCGGGCUCAACCUGGGAAUUGCAUUCGAGACUGCAUAGCUAGGAUGCGGAAGAGGGAAGCGGAAUUUCCGGUGUAGCGGUGAAAUGCGUAGAUAUCGGAAGGAACACCAGUGGCGAAAGCGGCUUCCUGGUCCAGCAUCGACGUUCAGGCACAAAAGCGUGGGGAGCAAACAGG
rnacentral:rRNA from 1 species